GACGAACGCUGGCGGCGUGCUUAACACAUGCAAGUCGAACGGUAAGGCCCUUCGGGGUACACGAGUGGCGAACGGGUGAGUAACACGUGGGUGAUCUGCCCUGCACUUCGGGAUAAGCCUGGGAAACUGGGUCUAAUACCGGAUAGGACCACUGCCUGCAUGGGUGGUGGUGUGGAAAGAUUUAUUGGCUUGGGAUGGGCCCGCGGCCUAUCAGCUUGUUGGUGGGGUGACGGCCUACCAAGGCGACGACGGGUAGCCGGCCUGAGAGGGCGACCGGCCACACUGGGACUGAGACACGGCCCAGACUCCUACGGGAGGCAGCAGUGGGGAAUAUUGCGCAAUGGGCGGAAGCCUGACGCAGCGACGCCGCGUGAGGGAUGACGGCCUUCGGGUUGUAAACCUCUUUCAGCAGGGACGAAGCGCAAGUGACGGUACCUGCAGAAGAAGCACCGGCCAACUACGUGCCAGCAGCCGCCGUAA
rnacentral:rRNA from 1 species